GGAAUUGUUCACAAUGGGCGCAAGCCUGAUGACGCAACGCCGCGUGGGGGAUGAAGGUCUUCGGAUUGUAAACCCCUGUCGAAUGGGACGAAAGACUCGCGUAUUAACACUGCGCGGGAUUGACGGUACCGUUAAAGGAAGCCACGGCUAACUCCGUGCCAGCAGCCGCGGUAAUACGGGGGGAGCAAGCGUUGUUCGGAUUUACUGGGCGUAAAGGGCGCGUAGGCGGCCACUGCAAGUCGGUUGUGAAAUCUCCGGGCUUAACCCGGAAAGGUCAAUCGAUACUGCAGGGCUAGAGUGCAGAAGGGGCAACUGGAAUUCUCGGUGUAGCGGUGAAAUGCGUAGAUAUCGAGAGGAACACCUGCGGCGAAGGCGGGUUGCUGGGCUGACACUGACGCUGAAGCGCGAAAGCUAGGGGAGCGAAC
rnacentral:rRNA from 1 species